AAUUAUUUUAUGCCUAAAAUCAAAGCUUUCUUUUCCUAUUAAAGAGCCAAAACCCUACAAAACUAAGCACUCAAAAGAAAGGUGCCGUCACCAAUCUUCAAAUUUCUUUGACUCCACAACUAGGCCUUUUAGCCUCAACUUCAACUAAUCUCUUUUAUGAUUCAGAAUUGAAUACGCCUAUGAAUAUUUGUACCCAAAAACUUGUUCCAUCUUUUGUGACCCACAUGGGUUAGGAAACGUGGACAGAUUUUUUGUUUAGCCAAGGGCAUGGAGUUGCGGAUCAGGAAGAGCUCAAGGUCAACAAUCAAAUGACGCAAAUCUAACUCUUUUGGAUGAGUGAUGAAAGCAUCAAAAUCGACGAGGACAUGAAUAAUCGUUCUUUUUUCUGGUAAAUAUAUCGAUAUGUUUGAAUAGACUGACGUUUCACUAUUUUAAAUAAUAUAGUUGAACCUUUAUUAAGUCUUUUUUUCUAAUAUAUUGCAUUUAUUACGUAACUAAGCAUAUUCUGCUAACAAUAAUUGUGGUAAAAUUUUCAAUUGGUAGCUAUGAAAUUUUUUAAUUCGUAGCUAAACAUAAAUAUAAUUGCCACGCAAAUGAGAACAUGGACACACAUUUUUAUUUCCAUAGCAAAUUAAGAAAAUCUUUUGCUACAAUUUAUCCCCCGUGACAAAAAAGUAUGGAAGUUUAGCUAUGAGUUUUUGAAUUCGUAGCUAGACAUAUAUACUCCUAUAAUUGCCACGUAUCAAGAACAUGGCUAUGGAUUUUCACUUUCCGUAGCA